rnacentral:rRNA from 1 species
GAAACCAACAGGGAUUGCCUCAGUAACGGCGAGUGAAGCGGCAAAAGCUCAAAUUUGAAAUCUAGCACUUUCAGUGUUCGAGUUGUAAUUUGAAGAAGGUAACUUUGGUUUUGGCUCUUGUCUAUGUUCCUUGGAACAGGACGUCACAGAGGGUGAGAAUCCCGUGCGAUGAGAUGCCCAAUUCCAUGUAAAGUGCUUUCGAAGAGUCGAGUUGUUUGGGAAUGCAGCUCUAAGUGGGUGGUAAAUUCCAUCUAAAGCUAAAUAUUGGCGAGAGACCGAUAGCGAACAAGUACAGUGAUGGAAAGAUGAAAAGAACUUUGAAAAGAGAGUGAAAAAGUACGUGAAAUUGUUGAAAGGGAAGGGCUUGAGAUCAGACUUGGUAUUUUGCGUUCCCUUCCUUUUUGGUUGGGUUCCUCGCAGUUUACUGGGCCAGCAUCGGUUUGGAUGGUAGGAUAAUGACAUUGGAAUGUAGCUUUACUUCGGUGAAGUGUUAUAGACUUUGUUGAUACUGCCUAUCUAGACCGAGGACUGCGUCUUUGACUAGG